rnacentral:rRNA from 1 species
GUAGGGGGCAAGCGUUAUCCGGAUUUACUGGGUGUAAAGGGAGCGUAGACGGCACGGCAAGCCAGAUGUGAAAGCCCGGGGCUCAACCCCGGGACUGCAUUUGGAACUGCUGAGCUAGAGUGUCGGAGAGGCAAGUGGAAUUCCUAGUGUAGCGGUGAAAUGCGUAGAUAUUAGGAGGAACACCAGUGGCGAAGGCGGCUUGCUGGACGAUGACUGACGUUGAGGCUCGAAAGCGUGGGGAGCAAACAGGAUUAGAUACCCUGGUAGUCCACGCCGUAAACGAUGACUGCUAGGUGUCGGGUAGCAAAGCUAUUCGGUGCCGCAGCUAACGCAAUAAGCAGUCCACCUGGGGAGUACGUUCGCAGGAAUGAAACUCAA